AUUGAACGCUGGCGGCAGGCUUAACACAUGCAAGUCGAGCGGAAACGAUGAUAGCUUGCUAUCAGGCGUCGAGCGGCGGACGGGUGAGUAACGCGUAGGAAACUACCCAGUAGUGGGGGACAACAGUUGGAAACGACUGCUAAUACCGCAUACGCUCUACGGAGGAAAGGGGGCUUCGGCUCUCGCUAUUGGAUGUGCCUGCGUGAGAUUAGCUAGUUGGUGGGGUAAAGGCCUACCAAGGCAACGAUCUCUAGCUGGUCUGAGAGGAUGAUCAGCCACACUGGGACUGAGACACGGCCCAGACUCCUACGGGAGGCAGCAGUGGGGAAUAUUGGACAAUGGGCGCAAGCCUGAUCCAGCCAUGCCGCGUGUGUGAAGAAGGCUUUCGGGUUGUAAAGCACUUUCAUCAGUGAGGAAAGGUUAGUAGUUAAUACCUGCUAGCUGUGACGUUAACUGAAGAAGAAGCACC
rnacentral:rRNA from 1 species